rnacentral:lncRNA from 1 species
AGUUGAACAGCUGAAGACCUGGUUGAUGGUCACGUGAUCUGUGAUCAGAGUUGCCAGGUUCGCGGUUUUAUGAAGAGGAGAUAAGAGAGGUCAGGAGGGGCAACAAAAAUAAGUAACUAAAAAUUUACCUGGUUGUAGAUGAUCAGACCUGUACACAUCACACUGUCAGAGAAGAGGAUUGUGAUGAAAUUUCGGAUCACAGUAAUCGUAAUAUAUAAUUCUAUUGCCUAUUAAGUACUGAGUUAUACUUUGUGUGUGUGUGUGUGUGUGUGUGUGUAUACAGUAUAUAUUUGUACUAUAUUAUAUAUAUUGUAGUAUUCAUUAAAUUGAUUAUAAUCACCUGUGUGUGUGUGUGUGUGUCAGUGUGACAGUGAAUGCUGGUGUCAGACAGAUCUUCCAGACACAUCUUCCUCAAAUCCUCACUCGCCCCCAGAGGAAGAGGAAGAAAGGUUUCAGGCGAUUUUUCGUCCAAGAGGAUCGUCCGUCUCCGAAGCUAAAGCUCGAUAUCGCUGUGUCGGCUGUGUCUGAUUCACACAUCAACAACGGCAAGGCACCGAGUCAGGUGUUAAGGCAUGUGCUCUACCUACCUGCCUCAGGUGUGUUAGGAGCUGGAAGAAAACAGAAAUAGAGCAGGUGCUUCUGUGUGAGGGUCUGUGUGUGUUUGUGUGUUAUAGAGAGGAGUGUGUGUGUGUGUGUGAUCUGUCUGCUCCUCUGACAUGUUUAAAUCUGUUAAUUAGCAUUAUGCUAGCACAGGGAGAGGUGAUGGAGGCUGUUGCUAUGAUACGCAAGGAUGUUAAUUAAGAAGUGCUGUGUGUUUGUGUGUGUGUGUGUGUGUGUGUGAAGAGCCGACAGCGUGAUGAAAGAAGCGUGGUAAACCCUAAAACCUGUUAUUUCUCAUAAUUAGUAGGUAAUUGUGUUCUGACUGUUGCUGAUUACUUUGUUUAUGAGCAGAAAGGGAGUGAUUAGCCGUUAGCGUGGGGUCGCUGCUAAAUACAGCUCAGAGUGUGACCACUGGGAGACCCCCGCAGUUAGUUUGAUUUGGAGUUCAAUGAAGCAUUGAGCAUGACUAAACAAAUAAAACCCAUAAUAAAACUCA